UUGGGGGGGAGGACUAACAGGAUCCCUUAGUAACUGCGAGUGAAGAGGGAAAAGCUCAAAUUUAAAAUCUGGCAGUGUUUCACUGUCCGAGUUGUAACCUAGAGAAGUGUAACCUGCGCUGGACCGUGUAUAAGUCUCCUGGAAUGGAGCAUCACAGAGGGUGAGAAUCCCGUCUUUGACAUGGACUACCAGUGCAUUGUGGUUGCGCUCUCAACGAGUCGAGUUGUUUGGGAAUGCAGCUCUAAAUGGGUGGUAAAUUCCAUCUAAAGCUAAAUAUUGGCGAGAGACCGAUAGCGAACAAGUACCGUGAGGGAAAGAUGAAAAGAACUUUGGAAAGAGAGUUAAACAGUAUGUGAAAUUGUUGAAAGGGAAACGUUUGAAGUCAGUCGCGUUGGUUGGGGAUCAGCCUGACAUUGUUGGGUGUACUUCCUGGUCGACGGGCCAACAUCAGUUUUGACUGCCAGAAAAAGAUCAAAGGAAUGUGGCACCUUUGGGUGUGUUAUAGCCCUUGGUCGUAUAUGGUGGUUGGGACUGAGGAAAGCAGCGUGCCAAAAGGCCGGGUUUCGACCACGUUCACGCUGAGGAUGUUGGCAUAAUGGCUUUAAGCGACCCGUCUUGAAACACGGACCAAGGAGUCUAACAUGCAUGCGAGUGUUUGGGUGGAAAACCCUUACGCGUAAUGAAAGUGAAAGUUGAGAUCCCUGUCGCGGGGAGCAUCGACGCCCGGACCAGAACUUUUGGGACGGAUCCGCGGUAGAGCACGUAUGUUGGGACCCGAAAGAUGGUGAACUAUGCCUGAAUAGGGUGAAGCCAGAGGAAACUCUGGUGGAGGCUCGUAGCGAUUCUGACGUGCAAAUCGAUCGUCAAAUUUGGGUAUAGGGGCGAAAGACUAAUCGAACCAUCUAGUAGCUGGUUCCUGCCGAGUUCCCCUAGAAAAAAUGAAAAAACCCCCGGUAUCAAAAAUAGGGUUCAAAAUAAUCUUUGCCCUAAAACCAAAAUUUGUACGAUCGAUUUGGCACGUCAGAAGUCGCUACGAGCCUCCACCAGCAGUUUCUCUGGCCUUCACUUAUUUCAGGCAUUAGUUCACAUCUUUCGGUCACAAUAGAGUGUGUCUCAGGGGAUACUCCCACAAAAUGUUGUGGGGGGUUGUACUGCCUCCGCGACGAGAACGAUCACUCUACACUCGCGGAAC
rnacentral:rRNA from 1 species